UACAGAGACCUCAAGCGUUAUCCGGUUUUAUUGGGCGUAAAGCGUUCCGAUAGGAGGUUUGGCAAGUUUAAAGUUAAAGACCGUAGCUUAACUACGUGUUUGCUUUAAAAACUGCCUUACUAGAGGAGUAAAGAGGUGGCUAGAAUUCUACAAGUAGGGGUGAAAUCCGUUGAUAUGUAGGAGAAUACCGAAAGCGAAGGCAAGCCACUGGGUACUUCCUGACUCUGCUAGGACGAAAGCGUGGGUAGCGAAUAGG
rnacentral:rRNA from 1 species